GACGAACGCUGGCGGCGUGCUUAACACAUGCAAGUCGAACGGAAAGGCCCUGCUUUUGUGGGGUGCUCGAGUGGCGAACGGGGGAGUAACACGUGAGUAACCUGCCCUUGACUUUGGGAUAACUUCAGGAAACUGGGGCUAAUACCGGAUAGGAGCUCCUGCUGCAUGGUGGGGGUUGGAAAGUUUCGGCGGUCGGGGAUGGACUCGCGGCUUAUCAGCUUGUUGGUGGGGUAGUGGCUUACCAAGGCUUUGACGGGUAGCCCGCCUGUGAGGGUGACCGGCCACACUGGGACUGUGAGACGCCGCAGACACCUACGGGAGACAGCAGUGGGGAGAAUAGCGCACUGGGCGGAAGACUGUUGCAGCACCGCCGCGUGCGGGAGGACGGCCUUCUGGUAGUAUAACGCGUUCGCCGGAGACGAAGCGUGAGUGACGGUACUGGGUAAAGAAGCACCGGCUAACUACGUG
rnacentral:rRNA from 1 species